CAGUUUAUGAAAGAGAAAACUUUUCUCUUUCGUUUACUACCAACAUCUGUGAUUGGCGUGUAACGGUUUGUCCGGAAUUUCCAUUCAAAGUGGAUUUUGACAGUUGGCUUUUAGGCCGUAAUCAUAUGUUUGUCGAGAAUUUUCAUGCAUUUUCUAGCAUAUACUUCUAGUAAAUAUUCAAUGAGUGGAUAGACCGAAUACGUCCAAUGCACAAAAUUUGCAGCAGAAGAAACGAGAGGCAGAUCAAAAAGUAUGAUAUCGGUGAUUAAAAAAAAGUUCUGCGUAUGCCUGGUCCAGACAUUUACAGACUUUUAAAACAGUAAUAAACUGACCGAUUUUCUUCAGAAAAUAAUAGAUGUGUCCCAGCAUGCAAAGAAUUACGAAUCAAAUACCGUUCAUACUUUUACCAUUUAGAUUUUUUUUAAGAAAUUUAGAACUUAAUCUUUCACGGAAUCUUUUUGGUCUUUUUCGGAGUAACGAACCAAUGAUCUCUAAAUGCGCAGGUAUCCUUCUGUUGAUCAACAGCAUGCGGCAGCUGUUCAAAUCGUAAAAUUAUUUCCACAACUUAGUAAUACGCGAGUCACACCAACUGCUCCUGAUGAGUCAUUUUUCUUUUGGCGCAACGGAGGCAAGGAAAAGGGUGCUCAUACUGGCAUGAUAUUUCAUCGCAUCCGGAAUGUCAUCAAACAGCUACCUGCAGGAAAACAUAAAUAUAAUCGAGGAACUAUGCCUGUAGAAGAGUCCGUUUCAACUGAACUUGUAGAGCGGGCUUAAUUGCUCCGAGUAAUGCUUGCAUCGGCAUCAGUAGCAGAACAUAUUUGUGAUGAAAUGGACCGAUGCUUUCCAGUCCUCAAACUGUUAUUAAAAGAAAAGAAACCCGUUAAUGAUAUCUUGGAUAUGUUUCCACACCUGUGUUCAUAUGAAGGAUUGGUGGUAACAUGUUUAUUUUUUAUUAUUUACUAUUUCACUUUAUGGUAUUCACGGAACAUAUGAAUAUUUAUAUCAUAUCACUUUUUCUAGAUUCGUCAAAUGUUUGAGAGAUUGUAUCCUAACAGAACAGAAGGUCUCAAAAUCGAGGAUGUCUUCUCUCAGUGUCUAUCUUAUUCACCGUCCAGAUUCUCUAGAGUAGAAGAUGAUCACAUUCGAGGAUGCUUGAGAAUAAUUUCUCAUAUGCCAAUUCGCGGACAAAAAAGAACGCUGGUAGGCUGUCCAACUGUAGGCGAAGAACAUUCGGCUUCAAUUUUAAUUCGUUGGAUUGGGG